rnacentral:lncRNA from 1 species
GUGGGGGGGGGGCUCUCAUUUAAACAAGUUUUAUCAUGUAUUUGCUGUAUAAUAUAACUUACACACUAAAAUGUUGCAUUUGGGGAUUCCUCAGGAUGAUGAAAGACACUUAGAAAGUUCAAAUUACUGAGAAUGUGAAUAUUAUAAAAUACAGACAGAUCAAAACCACAGAGGAAUGAGCAGGACAUGGAGACUCACAGCCCAGUGUUGGGAAGCCACGCGUUCACUGAUGCUCUCUGCUGGAGACCGAAAUUCUGGUAUCAAGCAGGAAACAGAACCUACGAGUGAGGAAAGGCUGUCCAGGAUAGCACAAUACACAUUCCAGACGAUGUAGGGCUUGGAGGGAAAAUGAACAUUUCAUUUCUACCAUGGUCUCUACUGGCUAUGAGACCAUAGGGAGUAACUUGGCUUUGCUGGACCUUGGUCUCUCUUUUUUGAAAAGAGCAUUCUACCUAGUGGAGUUGUUGUAAGUAUUCCAUGCUAAACAACAGUGCUUGGAAACGACAAAACACAAUCAAGAAUUUAGGUACGAUGAUAGGGACUAGUGAGAAAAUAGUAGGUGUCAAAUAAGAGCUAGCAACCCACAUAACAAAGAUGAUAUUUGAC